rnacentral:sRNA from 1 species
UAAUUUUAACAGAAAAUCCACACGCCUGCCGACACAUCAAACGGGGUGCCAGUUUCAUUUAAUCUGGUUCGUUUGAUGGGCAGGCGGAGGCAUAAC